CUGUAACCCCCCGUCACCCUCUCCCUCUCUCCCUCUCUCACCCCUCUCUGUCUGUCUCGGUUCAGGCCGGGGCUGCUGAGGGAGAGCGACUUUCUGAGAAUUGCAGGUAGGCUCGAGUUACACACACACACACACACACACACACACAAAGGCAUAAACACAUACUGUACAUGUCCAAAAGACACCUGAAUGAAAGACCUGUGUGUGUGUGAUUGUUGUAAAUGUCAUUCUAACAAUGGGCAUUGAUAUGAAACUAUUACAGCCUCCAUUCUUCUGGAAAGGCUUUAUGCAAUAUUUUGGAACCUGGCUGCAGGAAUUUGCUCCCGUUGGCCCCUGAUGUUGAGUGAUAAAGCCUGGCUCGCAAUCAGCAUUCCCAAAGGUGCUGGAUGAGGUCGAGUGUCACAACAUAUGGACUCCCGGACCAGACUCGUCCCACACCCGCCCCGCAGCCAACAAUCUGCCCUGGAACACAUUCAGACGUGUUAUGAGCCCUGACUUACCAACAUAUGCUCUCGCACACCUCUCCUGUUUUGCUGUCAUGCAUACCAGACGCAUUCAUCAGUUCGAAAUGUGAAAUGGAGGAGGAGUUUCCCGCUCAUCAUUAUAAAUUUUCCAUUAUUUCAUUUCGACACUGCUUCGAAACUGCUGCUUGAUUUGAUGCCUUUUUUUUUUUUUUUUGCUGAACUGAAGCACAGUUCAAUGUGUGAUAGAGGAAAUUAUACACCAGUGCUUUUCUGUACAGAACUGGACCCGAUUGAUUUACUCAUUAAAAAGAGCCAUAAACAAUAAGAGGCUUCUAGCUCUCAGUGGGAGAAUACAACAUUUUGAGGCUUGUUGUUAAAUUACCAACACUUCUUAAUGCUUUAAAUGGUCUGUUUACCCAAAUAAAAUUAAACUUUUCUAAG